GACGAACGCUGGCGGCGUGCUUAACACAUGCAAGUCGAACGGAAAGGCCUGCUUUCCCUUGUGGAUUGCGGGUACUCGAGUGGCGAACGGGUGAGUAACACGUGAGUGAUCUGCCCCCAACUUGGGUAUAAGCCUGGGAAACUGGGUCUAAUUCCCGAUAGGACUGCAGGGUGGUGCCUGUGGUGGAAAACGAUUUUCUAGUGGUUGGGGAUGAGCUCGCGGCCUAUCAGCUUGUUGGUGGGGUAAUGGCCUACCAAGGCGGCGACGGGUAGCCGGCCUGAGAGGGUGGACGGCCAGAUUGGGACUGAGAUACGGCCCAGACUCCUACGGGAGGCAGCAGUGGGGAAUAUUGCACAAUGGGCGGAAGCCUGAUGCAGCGACGCCGCGUGGGGGAUGACGGCCUUCGGGUUGUAAACUCCUUUCGACCGCGAGGAAGCCACCUGGUUGGAAGGGUGGUGACGGUAGUGGUAGAAGAAGCACCGGCUAACUACGUG
rnacentral:rRNA from 1 species